AAUGAGACCAAACGUGUACCUUAUAUUGCAGCUUUCAUAUUAUUGGUGUGAGUCUCUUUUGGAUUGUAUCACAGACACAAAACUGAUUUUAUACUUCAGCUACGGGGAAGUGCAUGUUCAGCGAUACUUGGCUUAACAUUUUUUUUUU